UACGAGGGGAGCAAGCGUUUGUUCGGAUUUACUGGGCGUAAAGGGCGCGUAGGCGGCGUGACUAGUCACUUGUGAAAUCUCCGGGCUUAACUCGGAACGGUCAAGUGAUACUGUCGUGCUAGAGUACAGAAGGGGCAACUGGAAUUCUCGGUGUAGCGGUGAAAUGCGUAGAUAUCGAGAGGAACACCUGCGGCGAAGGCGGGUUGCUGGGCUGAUACUGACGCUGAUGCGCGAAAGCCAGGGGAGCGAACGGG
rnacentral:rRNA from 1 species